rnacentral:rRNA from 1 species
UCUGAUUAGCUAGUUGGUGGGGUAAAGGCUUACCAAGGCGGCGAUCAGUAGCUGGUCUGAGAGGACGAUCAGCCACACUGGGACUGAGACACGGCCCAGACUCCUACGGGAGGCAGCAGUGGGGAAUUUUCCGCAAUGGGCGAAAGCCUGAAGGAGCAAUACCGCGUGAGGGAGGAAGGCUCUUGGGUUGUAAACCUCUUUUCUCAGGGAAGAACACAAUGACGGUACCUGAGGAAUCAGCAUCGGCUAACUCCGUGCCAGCAGCCGCGGUAAUACGGAGGAUGCAAGCGUUAUCCGGAAUGAUUGGGCGUAAAGCGUCUGCAGGUGGCUAUUAAAGUCUGCUGUCAAAGACUGGGGCUUAACCUCAGAGAGGCAGUGGAAACUGAAAGGCUAGAGUGCGGUAGGGGUAGAGGGAAUUCCCGGUGUAGCGGUGAAAUGCGUAGAGAUCGGGAAGAACACCAGUGGCGAAAGCGCUCUGCUAGACCGCAACUGACACUCAUGGACGAAAGCUAGGGGAGCGAAUGGGAUUAGAUACCCCAGUAGUCCUAGCCGU